GACGAACGCUGGCGGCGUGCUUAACACAUGCAAGUCGAACGGAAAGGCCCUGCUUUUGUGGGGUGCUCGAGUGGCGAACGGGUGAGUAACACGUGAGUAACCUGCCCUUGACUUUGGGAUAACUUCAGGAAACUGGGGCUAAUACCGGAUAGGAGCUCCUGCUGCAUGGUGGGGGUUGGAAAGUUUCGGCGGUUGGGGAUGGACUCGCGGCUUAUCAGCUUGUUGGUGGGGUAGUGGCUUACCAAGGCUUUGACGGGUAGCCGGCCUGAGAGGGUGACCGGCCACAUUGGGACUGAGAUACGGACCAGACUGCAACGGGAGGCAGCAGUGGGGAAUAUUGCACAAUGGGCGGAAGCCUGAUGCAGAAACGCCGCGUGCGGGAUGACGGCCUUCGGGUUGUAAACCGCUUUAGCAUGUGACGAAGCGUGAGUGACGGUAAUGGGUAAAGAAGCACCGGCUAACUACGUG
rnacentral:rRNA from 1 species